AUGAAUUGGCAGCGCAUAUAGAAAAUCAAAAUGAUACAGGGACAAUUAGCAUGGCCUUUGUACAACAAUGACACAUGAAUUUGUAAAGCAUUUUAUGGUUUU